UACGAAGGGGGCUAGCGAUGCUCGGAAUCACUGGGCGUAAAGGGUGCGUAGGCGGGUCUUUAAGUCAGGGGUGAAAUCCUGGAGCUCAACUCCAGAACUGCCUUUGAUACUGAAGAUCUUGAGUUCGGGAGAGGUGAGUGGAACUGCGAGUGUAGAGGUGAAAUUCGUAGAUAUUCGCAAGAACACCAGUGGCGAAGGCGGCUCACUGGCCCGAUACUGACGCUGAGGCACGAAAGCGUGGGGAGCAAACAGG
rnacentral:rRNA from 1 species